CAGCCAUAUCAAGUUGAAACACCAAUUCUCAUCAGAUCACCAAAGUUAAGCGAUGUCAAUCCUGGUCACUAACUAGAUAGGUGACCACUUGGGAAUACUAGGAAUUGUAAG